rnacentral:tRNA from 1 species
AGAGGGAUAAACUAAAAUAAUAAGUUUAGGGGCUCAUUUUCCCUACAUGUGAGAGAGAGCUCACUUCCUCUA